ensembl:lncRNA
CUACUCUGGAUCCACAGUCACACCGUGUGUGUCAGUGUGGCAAACAAGUAGUUGUGAGGUGUCUGGACUGCCUUCCUCUUCCAUUCCUUUGUGCUGAGUGUGAUAUUGCAGUUCACACACGCUUUGUCCUGCACAACCGAGAGGCAGUAACAGGAGGGUUUUUGCAGCCUUCAUCAGAGUUUCACAAGCCAAUAGUUCGGCUGUUGCCUGUGCAAAGCCCAGACCGUGUGUGACUGCCCAGCAGGUAACGUUGAGGUUUCACCCGGCGCAGUUGUGGCUCUUGUAACCAUAAAUGGCUGUUAUAACCUUGCACUGCCAGUGGUGAGCUGCACCAGCUGUGACUUAAUGUGGUCCCCCUCAGUUAAGGACAUCCUGGGUAGUGGAUAUUGGCCUGGCACCUUAAAUUUCUGCACCCUGUUUUCAAUGGAUGUCUUUCAGUCUUUCUAUGACAUUAAGAAGGCUGCACCAGGGAUGUCACUUAAGGCAUUUGUCAAAAUGCUGGAUGAAAGAACAGCCCAUUUUGGAAGGACUGGCCGAAUAUCAGCUGAUGCCUUCUGUAAAAGCUUUGUGGAGUGGAGUGCUGUUUGAGGUGGACAGGAUGUGCAAGGAGCCAUGCGUUAGCUGCCCUGCCUGCACUCUAGACGUGCUUGCCGUCUCAGUUGAUGGAAACCGUAAGCUUUAUCGCAUUCAAUCAAAUACAAGCACUUCAGAGCAGGCGAACUUUGAAGGUGUCUUCAUUGAAAAAGAUGAGGAAGUUGCUGAGUUUAUGAAAUACAUCCAGAGACACACAAAUGAUGUGGCUCAGCUGAGGAACCUCUUGUCAAUGCGUCCUUUUCUCUCCGUCAUGCAUGCAAAGGCUCUCAUUUGGAAAUGCGAGAUCAAAUGGGGAGGUGCGUUUCAGAAUGGGGCCGGUUCUACAGUUGGAGAAGAGGUGGAACAAGUAAACAGUUUCCUGUCUAGGGCGGCCAUCACAACGAAGUACAUGUCUAAAGCAGGGCGAACAGACAUGCUGACCCUCCUGGCUUUGGGGUGGACCAAAAGGAAAGUGGAACAACUGGGCCGCAGUUUGAGCCAGAGAUAUCUCAAGAUCAUAAGGAUCCUUAGAGAACAACUGGAGAGCCUGAAUGCGACCAAAAAUGAGCUGGGUGUGGAUGACGACACACUGCAGCAAUGGGCUGAAGGUGAGUCUCAAUAUAACGCACUCGUGUAUAACAAUAGGACCCACCAUGGUGUUAGAGUGAAUUGUUAAAUGUUUGUCAUUUUUAUUCUUACCAUUUGUACUUUAACUGUAUGUUGAAAGGAAUUCUUUUGUUCUCCCCUCCCCAGAUUCUCGAGGUUCUGAGUGGGGGGCUGUAGUGUUUUAUCACAGGCAACAUCCUUGUGAAGGUCUGUUUGAUGUGGUAAAACUUCCUGCCCUUUGUAUGGCUUCACUGUGUUAUCUAGGUGAACCAUAGAUUGGGUGUGGGGAGGUUACCCUCUUUAUGACCUAGGAUGUUGUUCCUGCUGUGUGACCCUUUUGGUCAGCAAUACACACACACACACACACACACACACACACACACACACACACACACACUUGCAAAACCACAGGCAAGGUACCCUUUGUGUGUAUGUAUACAUCAUAUGUUAAUGACCCUAUGCAUAUUCAAGUAACCUCAAUAAAAGGAGUGCUAUGGGGAACCUGGCUGAGAGUCUGAUGGAGGUCAAGUAGGUGGAACGACACUUGGCUCCAGGCAGGCCUCCCUCAUGCAUG